AACGAACGCUGGCGGCAUGCCUAACACAUGCAAGUCGAACGAGACCUUCGGGUCUAGUGGCGCACGGGUGCGUAACGCGUGGGAACCUGCCCUUAGGUUCGGAAUAACUCCCCGAAAGGGGUUCUAAUACCGGAUAAUGUCUUCGGACCAAAGAUUUAUCGCCUUUGGAUGUGCCCGCGUUGGAUUAGCUAGUUGGUAGGGUAAAAGCCUACCAAGGCGACUAUCCAUAGCUGGUCUGAGAGGAUGAUCAGCCACACUGGGACUGAGACACGGCCCAGACUACUACGGGAGGAAGCAGUGGGGAAUAUUGGAAAAUGGGCGAAAGCCUGAUCCAGCAAUGCCGCGUGAGUGAUGAAGGCCUUAGGGUUGUAAAGCUCUUUUAACCGGGAUGAUAAUGACAGUACCGGGAGAAUAAGCGCCGGCUAACUCCGUG
rnacentral:rRNA from 1 species